rnacentral:rRNA from 1 species
UACGUAGGUGGCAAGCGUUGUCCGGAAUUAUUGGGCGUAAAGCGCGCGCAGGCGGUCCUUUAAGUCUGAUGUGAAAGCCCACGGCUCAACCGUGGAGGGUCAUUGGAAACUGGGGGACUUGAGUACAGAAGAGAAGAGUGGAAUUCCACGCGUAGCGGUGAAGUGCGUAGAGAUGUGGAGGAACACCAGUGGCGAAGGCGACUCUUUGGUCUGUAACUGACGCUGAGGCGCGAAAGCGUGGGGAGCAAACAGG